UAGGGAAUCUUCCGCAAUGGGCGAAAGCCUGACGGAGCAACGCCGCGUGAGUGAUGAAGGUCUUCGGAUCGUAAAACUCUGUUAUUAGGGAAGAAUAAAUGUGUAAGUAACUAUGCACGUCUUGACGGUACCUAAUCAGAAAGCCACGGCUAACUACGUGCCAGCAGCCGCGGUAAUACGUAGGUGGCAAGCGUUGUCCGGAUUUAUUGGGCGUAAAGCGAGCGCAGGCGGUCAAUUAAGUCUGAUGUGAAAGCCCCCGGCUCAACCGGGGAGGGUCAUUGGAAACUGGUUGACUUGAGUGCAGAAGAGGAGAGUGGAAUUCCAUGUAUAGCGGUGAAAUGCGUAGAUAUAUGGAGGAACACCAGUGGCGAAGGCGACUAUCUGGUCUGUAACUAACGCUGAGGCUCGAAAGCGUGGGUAGCAAACAGG
rnacentral:rRNA from 1 species